CUUCACACUAUAUUUCAGCUUGCCUAUUGCAAGGCAGGGGACCAGAGUCUGCUUCUGCUUUAAGCCAUGCUGGAUAGGUUAGGGGGUAAUGAAGAGGCUGGAAGAGGGACAAAGAGACAUGCUCCCCAGGAUAGCAAGGUUUGGGACAGAAUCCCUGUUGGUAGCACUUAGUCCCUGGACAGGGGAUUUGGAUUCUGGGCUUGGUAAAUAUUGGCUGAGUUUAGGUUCUUACUGAGGACCUACUAAACUGCACGAUGCUAUGCUGGGGGCUGUGAUGGAUAUGAAAUGGAAUACUUUUUCUUGGUAAGUUUAUGGUUUCAUUAGGGAGAUUAAAUAUAGGUGUGUGAAACAUCUAGAAACAAGACAAAGAAUGUUCUCAAAUGCCAAAAGUUGAGGAGAUAUAAAUGACUAUAAAGGAAGGGCUGCAAACCAGGUGAGAACAGAGAUGGUACCUUCUUCAGGAUGGGUAUCUUCCAGAAUCUUGCACACAGUUGGUGCUCAAAAAUAUUUUUUCGGUUGAAUUGAGGAGUUUACACUUAAGAUGCAUUUGGAUGGAUCUGAAUGGACUAGGAGCAGGAAGAGCAUUCAGACUUUCUUUCUAACAUUAGUUGGUGAGGGGGCUGACUCUUCACCUUUUAAAAUGUGAAUUGAGGGAGCCAGCCCAGUGGCGUAGUAGUUGGGUUCACGCACUCUGCUUCAGAGGCCCAGGGUUCACCAGUUUGAAUCCGGGGCGCAGACCUACAUACUGUUCAUCAACCAUGUUGAGGAGGCGUCCUACAUACAAAAUAGAGGAAGAUUGGCAUGGGCAUUAGCUCAGCGACAAUCUUCCUCAAGGAAAAAGGGAAGGAUUGGCAACAGAUGUUAGCUCGGGGCCAAUCUUCCUCACUGAAAACAAAAAUGUGAAUUGAUAAUCAUAGUAUCUGUUGACUGUUCAAUUCAAAAGUGUGGCUUAAUUCUAGCUUACAGACUGGUGAAAAGGAGGACACAUAAGGGACCUUGGGGUAAAAUAUUAAUCAGGAGGCUCAUAAUCAAUCCCACACACCCUUGACCUUAGUUGAAACAAAAGUGCUGAUUUUUUGGAAUUCAGAAAGAGUGGAAUGAGAUUAGACGGAAUGACUUCUACUUAGGUGUUUUUUUUUUUUUUUUAAUUUCUAGAAUUCCUCCAUCCAGGAAUAGCCAAGUGAAUAGUACAAACCAUUGUCAUGUAAAAGCCUUGCAAAGUCAUCUGCUUUUAGUAAAGUCCUUCAAUCAGUACCACUUAAAGGACAGUCCAAAACGGAUACCAAUCCACAAACAUUUGUCUCUGGUCCUGAUGAGAAAGCUGCCAUGUUGUAAGCAGCCCUCUGUAGAAGCUCAGGUGGCAGGCCGAUGACAGGGUUUUGCCAGUUCGGAUCCUGGACGCGGACAUGGCACCACUCAUCAAGCCAUGCUGAGGUGGCGUCUCAAACAGCAGAAGUAAUAAAAGGGCCUGCAACUAGAAUAUACAACUAUGUACUGGGGGCUUUGGGGAGAAGAAAAAAAAAGAUUGGCAACAGAUGUUAACUCAGGGCCAAUCUUUAAAAGAAACAAAAAAACCCAUCAUGACUACAGAAGAACAAUGAAGACACUGAAAUUGUUAAAGAUUUUGUUUACUUUGCUUCAGUCAUCAAUUUAAUGGAGACUGCAACCAAGAAAUCAGGACUGUGAUUUGGAAGGACAAUAAUAAAAGCAUUAGGAAAGAUCAUCAAGUGUAAGGAAGCAUCAUUAGAGACCAAGGCCAAGAUUAUCCAUACCCUCAUGUUCCCAAUUACUAUGUACAAGGCGAAAGCUGGACAGUGAAGAAGGCUGACAGGAAAAAGUUGAUUCGUUUCAAAUACGAUGUUGGAGGAGCGCUCUCUGGAUACCCUGGACUGCCAGAAAGGCAGACAAGUGGGUCCUAGAGCAAAUUAAGCCUAAACUAUUGCUAGAGGCAAAAAUGAUAAAACUGAGGCUGUCCCACUUUGGACACUUCAUGAGAAGCAGGAUUCUUUGGAAAAGACAACAAUGCUAGGAGAAAUAGAAGGCAGCAGGAAAAGAGGAAGGUCAAAGGUGAGAGGCAUUGACUCCAUAAAGGAAGCCAUAGGUAUGAGUCUAUAGAACCUGAGCAGGGCCGUUGAGGACAGGAGGUUGUGGACAUCACUCAUUCAUAGGGUC
rnacentral:lncRNA from 1 species